GACGAACGCUGGCGGCGUGCUUAACACAUGCAAGUCGAACGGAAAGGCCCUGCUUUUGUGGGGUGCUCGAGUGGCGAACGGGUGAGUAACACGUGAGUAACCUGCCCUUGACUUUGGGAUAACUUCAGGAAACUGGGGCUAAUACCGGAUAGGAGCUCCUGCUGCAUGGUGGGGGUUGGAAAGUUUCGGCGGUUGGGGAUGGACUCGCGGCUUAUCAGCUUGUUGGUGGGGUAGUGGCUUACCAAGGCUUUGACGGGUAGCCGGCCUGAGAGGGUGACCGGCCACAUUGGGACGGAGAUACGGCCCAGACUCCUACGGGAGGCAGCAGUGGGGAAUAUUGCACAAUGGGCGGAAGCCUGAUGCAGCAACGCCGCGUGCGGGAUGACGGCCUUCGGGUUGUAAACCGCUUUCGCCUGUGACGAAGCGUGAGUGACGGUAAUGGGUAAAGAAGCACCGGCUAGCUACGUG
rnacentral:rRNA from 1 species